AUAAUUAGCAAUACUCACUUAGACUUAUAUAUCAUUUCAUAGUGCUUUACAGCCCUCUCCAAACUGUUUACAGCAUCAACAUAUUGCUUCCAACAAUCUGGCUCCUCAUUUUACCAACCUCAGAAGGAUGGAAGGCUGAGUCAACAUUUAACCUGGUGAAAUUCGAACUGCAAGCAGCCGGCAAGUAGCAGAAGUCUCAUAGCUAAGAUGCAACAGGAGAUUGUACAUGGCUGUUGUGCCAGUCCUCUUCUCGGUACAUUGUGAUCCUCUCCAUUAGGAGACUCCAGAGAAGUUCAACCCAGAUCACUUUUUGGAUGAAAAGGGCCAAUUCAGGAAAAGAGAUGCUUUCAUGCCAUUCUCAGCAGGGAAGAUGGCUUGUCCAGGAGAGGCCCUGGCUAGGAUGGAGCUCUUCCUGUUCUUCAGCACCUUGCUCCAGAAGUUUACCUUCUAUCUGUCAGAUCAAAAGUAGCUUGCAGUACUGCAUUCUAAGCACUGCACCACCAUGACUCAUUAUUCCAUAUGACAUGGCAUUGAGACAAACAUUCUGAAGCUAUAGUAUCUGCCAUCAUUUCAAAGUAUAUCCGGCUGCCUGUGAAUAAGGACUAUGAAAUUCUGUCAGCCUGAUAUGUCAACAGAAGUCCUGUAGGAAGCUAUGGAGUGCAACAACUAGGGAAAAUUAUAUUGAUUUUAACAGGGCUUGCUGUCAAGAAAACAUUCUAUCUUUGGAGGGUUUUUUAACCCUCUAGGUUUGGUAAUAUUUUAGACCAGGGAUCACCAACCUUUUGGA